AUCCAUGUGGUCGAGUCGGCCCGCGCUCUCCUAAAGCGGGUGCCGCAGGUUCGAAUCCUGCCGGGGGCAC
rnacentral:tRNA from 1 species